UACGUAGGUGGCAAGCGUUGUCCGGAUUUACUGGGCGUAAAGAGCGCGCAGGCGGCUGAUUAAGUCGAAUGUGAAAGCCCCCGGCUCAACUGGGGAGGGUCAUUCGAUACUGAUCAACUUGAAGGCAGGAGAGAGAAGUGGAAUUCCCGGUGUAGUGGUGAAAUGCGUAGAUAUCGGGAGGAACACCAGUGGCGAAGGCGGCAUACUGGAUCACUUCUGACGCUGAGGCGCGAAAGCCAGGGGAGCGAACGGG
rnacentral:rRNA from 1 species